GUGGGGAAUAUUGGACAAUGGGGGAAACCCUGAUCCAGCGACGCCGCGUGGGUGAAGAAGGCCUGCGGGUUGUAAAGCCCUUUCGGUAGGGACGAAAGCUCUCGACCUAACACGUCGGGAGGUUGACUUAACCUACAAAAGAAGCACCGGCUAACUCUGUGCCAGCAGCCGCGGUAAUACAGAGGGUGCGAGCGUUAAUCGGAAUUACUGGGCGUAAAGCGCACGUAGGCGGCUUGGUAUGUCGGGUGUGAAAUCCCCGGGCUCAACCUGGGAACUGCAUCCGAAACUGCCUUGCUCGAGUAUGGGAGAGGGAAGCGGAAUUUCCGGUGUAGCGGUGAAAUGCGUAGAUAUCGGAAGGAACAUCAGUGGCGAAGGCGGCUUCCUGGACCAAUACUGACGCUCAGGUGCGAAAGCGUGGGGAGCAAACAGGAUUAGAAACCCCAGUAGUCC
rnacentral:rRNA from 1 species